AAUAAGGCGAGAUGAGCGCCGCAACCCCAGAGUCGGCCGCAACUGGACCUAAUGGUCAGGGGUCCCUUUCCCUUUAGACAAAUAAUAAGUUGCAGAAGAAGAGCAUCACACAAACGGUUUGUUUCAGUGAACCUCACCUCUCUUUCCCUAGUCAACUGCCAGGCAGAGACUCCUUGUGUGGCUUUGCCAAAUGAUAUAUGCUACAAACCUACAAGCUUUCAGACCUGGCGGUACUCCAGACAGCUGAGUCCCUUCCCAAGACACCUGGAUUCUGGAAAUGGAACAAAAUAGCAUUGGAUCAAGCUACAUGCAAUCUCCCUAAAACACAGUAUAAGGCUGAAUCACUCUUGUCUCCAGAAAAGGAAGAACUGAAGGAAAGGUUAUGGAAACUCUAGGAUAUGCACAUUUAGGGCAUGGAUGAUGCUAAGCACAUGCCCAGUACCAGUAAGUAAAUAGUUUCUGAAGGGAAUAUUUUAACAAGUUACUGUCCUUCUUUCACCAUCCAGAUGUCCUUAGUUUCCAUCUGGAUUGAGAGAUAUGUUCUGCCAAGAGAAGAGAGGC